UACGUAGGGUGCGAGCGUUAAUCGGAAUUACUGGGCGUAAAGCGUGCGUAGGCGGUUCGUUGUGUCUGUGGUGAAAGCCCCGGGCUUAACCUGGGAAUGGCCAUGGAAACUGGCGGGCUGGAGUGUGGCAGAGGGGGGUGGGAAUUCCGCGUGUAGCAGUGAAAUGCGUAGAGAUGCGGAGGAACACCGAUGGCGAAGGCAGCCCCCUGGGCUAACACUGACGCUGGAGGCACGAAAGCGUGGGGAGCAAACAGG
rnacentral:rRNA from 1 species